rnacentral:rRNA from 1 species
GACGAACGCUGGCGGCGUGCUUAACACAUGCAAGUCGAACGGAAAGGCCCUGCUUUUGUGGGGUGCUCGAGUGGCGAACGGGUGAGUAACACGUGAGUAACCUGCCCUUGACUUUGGGAUAACUUCAGGAAACUGGGGCUAAUACCGGAUAGGAGCUCCUGCUGCAUGGUGGGGGUUGGAAAGUUUCGGCGGUUGGGGAUGGACUCGCGGCUUAUCAGCUUGUUGGUGGGGUAGUGGCUUACCAAGGCUUUGACGGGUAGCCGGCCUGAGAGGGUGACCGGCCACAUUGGGACUGAGAUACGGACCAGACUCCUACGUGAGGCAGCAGUGGGGAAUAUUGCACAAUGGGCGGAAGCCUGAUGCGGCAACGCCGCGUGCGGGAUGACGGCCUUCGGGUUGUAAACCGCUUUCGCCUGUGACGAAGCGUGAGUGACGGUAAUGGGUAAAGAAGCACCGGCUAACUACGUG